rnacentral:rRNA from 1 species
GACAACGCUGGCGGUGCGCCUUAUGCUUGCAGUCGAGCGAAGCUUUUCAGUAGUUUACUACAGAAAAUGACUGAGCGAACGGGUGAGUACGCGUGAGCAAUCUACCUUAGUUACAGGGAUAGCCCGAGGAAACUCGGAUUAAUACCUGAUAUUCUUUAUUUCUCGCAUGAGAAUAAAAGGAAAGGUCAGCCGAACUAAGAUGAGCUCGCGUUCUAUCAGCUAGUUGGUGAGGUAAAAGCUUACCAAGGCUACGACGGAUAGCUGGUCUGAGAGGACGAUCAGCCACACUGGGACUGAGACACGGCCCAGACUCCUACGGGAGGCUGCAGCAGGGAAUAUUGUGCAAUGAACGAAAGUUUGACACAGCGACACCGCGUGUGGGAUGACGGAUCUCAGGUUUGUAAACCACUUUCAGGAGGGAAGAAAAAU